rnacentral:rRNA from 1 species
UACGUAGGAUCCGAGCAUUAUCCGGAGUGACUGGGUGUAAAGAGUUGCGUAGGUGGCAUAAUAAGUAGCUAGUGAAAUCUGGUGGCUCAACCAUUCAGACUAUUAGCUAAACUGUUAAGCUCGAGACCGUUAGGGGUAACUGGAAUUUCUAGUGUAGGAGUGAAAUCCGUAGAUAUUAGAAGGAACACCAAUAGCGUAGGCAGGUUACUGGGACGGUUCUGACACUAAGGCACGAAAAGCGUAGGGAGCAAACGGG